UUAAAUGAUCAAAUGAUGAUGCUCUGAUCAAUUUUUUUUUUUUUAUAAAACAAAAUAAAUCUGACAGUUUUUUACCAGAUCAAUCCUUCCUAUCCAGACCCAAGCCAGGUUCUAAGUUAACUUGUUGGUCGGUUCUAAGUUAACUUAUUAGUCAAACCGAGCCUUAUAACUGUAGUUAAAAGUGAAUGGGGCACAGGCUCAUCAUCAUUUUGACAUGUUUCCCAUUCAUUUGUCAACCCAUCGCUGUAUGAAAACAUGGGUAAAUGAUUUUAUCCAUUCUCGCACAUCAUGGGCUAUUUUUUAGGCUGAAGCGAUAGAUGUUCUUUCUGAUUACCCAUUAUAUGAAAGUCAUGUAAAGAAGUAAAGGAUCGUCUUGUCUUGCAAAGUAGCUUCGCAUAAAAACACUCAACCUGCCAUACAUUGCAACAAGCUGACUUGUUGAUCCUUGCCAUCCUUCCUGGCGUUGUCGUUUCCAAAGGAUGUUGAAGCCUGAUCGUUAGAGCUUGCAAACCUAACUCGAAGAUUCUGGUUUUAAUCUUAUCAGAAUGGGAGUUGCGGUUUUUAUCAAGAUGUGACAAAGCUACCCAGCCCAUUCAGUUGAUCCUAAAUACAAAACACUUCUUGCCCAUUCGUCGAAGCCACCACUCGUCACGAAACAAUUUCUGCAGAAUGUCUUUUUUUUUCGAUGGACAAGUUUUAAACCGUCAAAGCUAUAUCCUAAUAUUGAAUUCUUGCCAAGUGUUUUGCAUGAUUAAUGAUCCGAAUUCUUCCACUAAAGAUCCAAUAUUUUGUAAGAAAUUUGUGAUGGGCCUCGAUAUGGUUUUUAUUCUAAAGAGUAGUGAGUUUUCGUUGUGUUUAGCAGGCCCUCUGCCCGAAGCCACCAAGUAGGGCGUGAUCAUGGAGAGGUCUCUGGCAGGGCUGUGCUAGGUUUAGUGGAUUGGGAAACUUGAUUUAUUGGGCUAAUAAACAACUGUAUCAUUAUCAACUCAUGGAGCAAACCAUUAGUGCACCUAACAAACCUCUCAACUAGGUCAUGAUGAGGCAACAAGAGCCACGGCGUGUGCUCACACCCAUGACGAGGCGAUUAAAGAGAACCGCCCGGCACAAAAGGGGCCCGCCAGAGGCUAAAAUUAAAUACACAUGUUGGGAGAACCGAGAUUUCCGUCGCAAUAAAGUGGCGCCGCCGAAUAUUCUCCUCUAGAAUUAAAUAUUUUUUCGAAGGACAGGAAAAGAAAUUAGGAUUUGAAGGUGACAGUACAGUCGCAAAUCAUUAUCAACCAAGGAUGGAUGGGGUCCAGUCCUUCUCUAUUUCCUCGCCGCGUUGUGGGCCCCCACCAUUUCCUUGUCGGCCCACGCUCAGGCCGUCCCACUCACCCUCGCUUUUUUCCUCACUCCCCAUUAACUUGUGCUUGGCGUGCCUUUUGUUUAAGGGCCAGCAGUCACCUUUGCCUUUGGAAGUGGAAUUUUGAGGC